GAGGGUAUAGCUCAAGUGGUAGAGUGCAUGCUUAGCACGCAUGAGGUCCUGGGUUCAAUCCCCAGAACCUCCU
rnacentral:tRNA from 1 species